rnacentral:rRNA from 1 species
CCUACGGGUGGCAGCAGUGGGGAAUAGUGGGCAAUGGGCGCAAGCCUGACCCAGCAACGCCGCGUGAAGGAAGAAGGCUUUCGGGUUGUAAACUUCUUUUGGCAGGGACGAAGCAAGUGACGGUACCUGACGAAUAAGCCACGGCUAACGACGUGCCAGCAGCCGCAGGAAUACGUAGGUGGCAAGCGUUAUCCGGAUUUACUGGGUGUAAAGGGCGUGUAGGCGGGACUGGAAGUCAGAUGUGAAAACCACGGGCUCAACCUGUGGCCUGCAUUUGAAACUGUCGUUCUUGAGUACUGGAGAGGCAGACGGAAUUCCUCGUGUCGCGGUGCAUUGCGUAGAUCUUAG